rnacentral:rRNA from 1 species
UAGGGAAUCUUCGGCAAUGGACGAAAGUCUGACCGAGCAACGCCGCGUGAGUAAAGAAGGUUUUCGGAUCGUAAAACUCUGUUGUUAGAGAAGAACAAGGACGUUAGUAACUGAAUGUCCCCUGACGGUAUCUAACCAGAAAGCCACGGCUAACUACGUGCCAGCAGCCGCGGUAAUACGUAGGUGGCAAGCGUUGUCCGGAUUUAUUGGGCGUAAAGCGAGCGCAGGCGGUUUCUUAAGUCUGAUGUGAAAGCCCCCGGCUCAACCGGGGAGGGUCAUUGGAAACUGGGAGACUUGAGUGCAGAAGAGGAGAGUGGAAUUCCAUGUGUAGCGGUGAAAUGCGUAGAUAUAUGGAGGAACACCAGUGGCGAAGGCGGCUCUCUGGUCUGUAACUGACGCUGAGGCUCGAAAGCGUGGGGAGCAAACAGG